UGAGAGAGAGAUAGAGAGUUGAACAAAUUCUUCAUAGCAACUAGAGGAAGGAUCCAAAGGGAUCGCAUUGAUCCUAAUUAAGGUGAAUUCUCCCCAUAUUUUCUUUAUAAUUGGCAAAUAAAUCACAAAAAUUUGCUUGGUUCUGGAUCAUGCUAUCUCUUUGGAUUCAUCCUUCGGUAGCUUCCUCUUCGAUCGUAUGGCAAAUUUCUCAACUAUCAUGGAUACUUCACCGGGAACUUUGCUGGCUUUAAGAUUCCGCAACCUUGUAUCUCAAGCCUACAACAGUAUACGAACUCUCUUCUUACAAUUUUCAUUUUUUAAAAGGUAAGUUUCAAAGAAUUUUGACCUAAUCAUGCAAAACCAAAAAAGAAGAAGAAGUCACCUACCUGUUUUUUUUUGGCUUUCUUCUUCAUUGGAUUUUGAGAUCGAAUUUCCAAUUAAAAAUUAGCUUAUGAAAUUUAUAUAUUUUAUGAAAGACGUCAUUUUAAAGUUAGUUUAAAAUUUCUCUG
rnacentral:precursor_RNA from 1 species